UACGGGGGGGGCAAGCGUUGUUCGGAAUUACUGGGCGUAAAGGGCUCGUAGGGGGCCAACUAAGUCAGACGUGAAAUCCCUCGGCUUAACCGGGGAACUGCGUCUGAUACUGGAUGGCUAGAGUUUGGGAGAGGGAUGCGGAAUUCCAGGUGUAGCGGUGAAAUGCGUAGAUAUCUGGAGGAACACCGGUGGCGAAGGCGGCAUCCUGGACCAACACUGACGCUGAGGAGCGAAAGCCAGGGGAGCAAACGGG
rnacentral:rRNA from 1 species